rnacentral:lncRNA from 1 species
AGUGGCCAAGAGAGGAAAAAUUCUAGAAUGCAACGGAUAUAUUAGUGACGUGGCGUAACAAACCAAUCAAAUUAAUCCUUUUAAGAAUAUAUGUCCCAUCAUAAUUGUAAAAAAGUAUUUUUAUUGUACUUUUGUUUGAAAAGAAGGAAUGUGAUUGGCUUGUUAUUGAUGACGUGGUGCAAGUGUGACAGUGUAGAAUUCCUCCCAA